GACGAACGCUGGCGGCGUGCUUAACACAUGCAAGUCGAACGAUGAAACCUAGCUUGCUAGGUCGAUUAGUGGCUAACGGGUGAGUAACACGUGACUAACCUGCCCCUUUCUCUGGGAUAACGCUCCGAAAGGAGUGCUAAUACCGGAUACUCACAUCGAGGCACAUGCCUUGAUGUGGAAAGUUUUUCGGAAAGGGAUGGAGUCGCGGCCUAUCAGCUUGUUGGUGAGGUAACGGCUCACCAAGGCGACGACGGGUAGCCGGCCUGGGAGGGCGACCGGCCACACUGGGACUGAGACACGGCCCAGACUCCUACGGGAGGCAGCAGUGGGGAAUAUUGCACAAUGGGCGCAAGCCUGAUGCAGCGACGCCGCGUGAGGGAUGAAGGUCUUCGGAUUGUAAACCUCUUUCAGUAGGGACGAAGCGAAAGUGACGGUACCUAAAGAAGAAGCACCGGCUAACUACGUGCCAGCAGCCGCAGUAA
rnacentral:rRNA from 1 species